rnacentral:rRNA from 1 species
UACGUAGGAGGCGAGCGUUGUCCGGAAUCACUGGGUGUAAAGCGCGUGUAGGCGGCCUGUCAAGUCUGCUGUGAAAGCGCCUGGCUUAACCGGGCGAGGUCGGUGGAAACUGGCGGGCUGGAGGACGGUAGAGGGGGGUGGAAUUCCCGGUGUAGUGGUGAAAUGCGUAGAGAUUAGGAAGAACACCAGUGGCGAAGGCGGCAUCCUGGACCGAGAUUGACGCUGAUGCGCGAAAGCCAGGGGAGCAAACGGG